rnacentral:rRNA from 1 species
UGCGUAGGCGGUCUUUCAAGCCAGAAGUGAAAGGCUACGGCUCAACCGUAGUAAGCUUUUUGGAACUGUAAGACUUGAGUGCAGGAGAGGAGAGUGGAAUUCCUAGUGUAGCGGUGAAAUGCGUAGAUAUUAGGAGGAACACCAGUAGCGAAGGCGGCUCUCUGGACUGUAACUGACGCUGAGGCACGAAAGCGUGGGGAGCAAACA